rnacentral:rRNA from 1 species
GGCUUAGAGUUUGAUCAUGGCUCAGGACGAACGCUGGCGGCGUGCUUAACACAUGCAAGUCGAACGAGGCUUCAGAAGCUUGCUUUUGAAGCCGAGUGGCAAACGGGUGAGUAACGCGUAAACAACCUGCCUUCAGGAUGGGGACAACAGACGGAAACGACUGCUAAUACCGAAUACCUUCCGGAGACCCCAUGAUUUCCGGAAGAAAGGGUGGCCUCUACUUGUAAGCUAUCGCCUGAAGAGGGGUUUGCGUCUGAUUAGGCAGUUGGCGGGGUAACGGCCCGCCAAACCGACGAUCAGUAGCCGGUCUGAGAGGAUGAACGGCCACACUGGAACUGAGACACGGUCCAGACUCCUACGGGAGGCAGCAGUGGGGAAUCUUCCGCAAUGGACGAAAGUCUGACGGAGCAACGCCGCGUGAGUGAUGACGGCCUUCGGGUUGUAAAGCUCUUUGAUCCGGGACGAAUGGUCCCUGUGCGAAUACCACAGGGAAGUGACGGUACCGGAAGAACAAGCCACGGCUAACUACGUGCCAGCAGCCGCGGUAAUACGUAGGUGGCAAGCGUUGUCCGGAAUUAUUGGGCGUAAAGCGCGCGCAGGCGGCCCUUUAAGACCAUCUUAAAAGCGUGGGGCUUAACCCCAUGAUGGGAUGGAAACUGGAGAGCUGGAGUAUCGGAGAGGAAAGCG